GAUGAACGCUGGCGGCGUGCCUAAUACAUGCAAGUAGAACGCUGAAGGAGGAGCUUGCUCUUCUGGAUGAGUUGCGAACGGGUGAGUAACGCGUAGGUAACCUGCCUGGUAGCGGGGGAUAACUAUUGGAAACGAUAGCUAAUACCGCAUGACAACAGUUAUUGCAUGAUAACUGUUUAAAAGGGGCAACUGCUCCACUACCAGAUGGACCUGCGUUGUAUUAGCUAGUUGGUGAGGUAACGGCUCACCAAGGCGACGAUACAUAGCCGACCUGAGAGGGUGAUCGGCCACACUGGGACUGAGACACGGCCCAGACUCCUACGAGAGGCAGCAGUAGGGAAUCUUCGGCAAUGGACGGAAGGCUGACCGAGCAACGCCGCGUGAGUGAAGAAGGUUUUCGGAUCGUAAAGCUCUGUUGUAAGAGAAGAACGAGUGUGAGAGUGGAAAGUUCACACUGUGACGGUAUCUUACCAGAAAGGGACGGCUAACUACGUG
rnacentral:rRNA from 1 species